AGUGAACGCUGGCGGUAGGCCUAACACAUGCAAGUCGAACGGCAGCACAGUAAGAGCUUGCUCUUACGGGUGGCGAGUGGCGGACGGGUGAGGAAUACAUCGGAAUCUACUUUUUCGUGGGGGAUAACGUAGGGAAACUUACGCUAAUACCGCAUACGACCUACGGGUGAAAGCAGGGGAUCUUCGGACCUUGCGCGAUUGAAAGAGCCGAUGUCGGAUUAGCUAGUUGGCGGGGUAAAGGCCCACCAAGGCGACGAUCCGUAGCUGGUCUGAGAGGAUGAUCAGCCACACUGGAACUGUGACACGGUCCAGACUCCUACGGGAGGCAGCAGUGGGGAAUAUUGGACAAUGGGCGCAAGCCUGAUCCAGCCAUACCGCGUGGGUGAAGAAGGCCUUCGGGUUGUAAAGCCCUUUUGUUGGGAAAGAAAAGCAGCAGGUUAAUACCCCGCUGUUCUGACGGUACCCAAAGAAUAAGCACCGGCUAACUUCGUG
rnacentral:rRNA from 1 species